GAUCUCAUUAAAGCCAAAUUGGUAUAUGCCAAUAAAUCCAAGGCACUUGUCAUCUGGAAUUAUUACACACACACACACACACACACACACACACAUACACUGCAUACACACAAACUUCCCCCCAUGAAGAGCAUUAUUAGCACUGCAAAAUUAUCCAAAAUGGAAAGAAAAGUAAUAAAUAUUGUAAUGAGAAAUAAUAGAGCAAUGGCGGACAUGGUCACAGCAGUGGCCGGUUAACACCAAAACAAACAUCUCCAGGGCUGGUGAAUAAUUACAGCGCACAGAGGGAGUCAUUAAAGCUUCAUCAAACAGAGAAAAAAGGGAUAGGGCGAGUAUGACAUCACGACGACUGUCUCAGUAAAUCAAUCUGCUGUAGAGAAAAAAUGGACGAUAACUAUGUGAUGGCAGUAAGUUUGAUUGCUGUGUAAGUAGUGCCACUGUGCUGUGGCAUGCUUUGAUUGGUAUCUUGACUUUAAAAGUGAAUGUGUUUUUUUUUAAAAGAACAUAAUUACGCAUAUAUCUAUUGGGUUUUGUUUUCCACAAUUUAAACAUGAAUCUGUACAUUAAUGGACAGGCAUAAUUGGUGUUUCGUUUGUAACCUCGUCACUUUGAUUGCUUGUAGUCAGAUGUUUAACUCAGACAAACCCUAGGCGUUUUGUGUUGGGAGCCCAACAUCCCAGAGGCCCCUGGAGUUCCUGGGAGAGGGAGAGGGAGAGAGAGAGAGAGACAGAGGGGAGAAAGACAGAGAGAGAAGGAGGCAUGUGUGUGUUGUUUGUGUGUGCUGGUUGGCAGAGUCCCCUUGAGGCUCUACUGUAAAGCUAUCAUCAGUGGUGGUGUCAGGGAUUUGUAGCUUGUCACUGAGAGAGCGAGAGAGUGCUGGCAGUGACUCUGGGAAAUAACUGCUUAUGGAGAGAGAGCCUGGCUCGCACAGCGUGUGUGAGUGUAGGUGUGUGUAAGAGAGAUAGAGAGAUGGAGAACGAGAGGGAGGAAUGUGUGUCUAUUUUCUCCCCGGGGUGUCUGGAGAUGUAUGUGUGUGUGUGUGUAUGUGUGUGUGUGGACAGGUAGGUUGUGGGUCGAUCAUCUGAUGUGUGGAUCCAUGUGCCGACUUUCAUCUCGGGGCCUUAGGCUCUUUGCCUGUGUGUUCUUGUCGGCAAGUAGUGUAUGUCUGUUCUGGGCGUGUCAAAGCUGCUGCAGUGGCGUUGCGUGAAUCCACGUCUCCUCGUCAAAUAACGUUCACAUUUGGACCUGAAUGUGAUCAAGUAUGUAUUUUCAGUCACCGGCAAUAAGGAGUCUGUGUAGGCUACCUCCCUGCUGCCAUGCCCGUGUUUGUGUAUGUGUGGUCUUCACCAAGAUGGAUGCUGACUUCAAACCGAACUUUCCCUCAAGGCGGAGGGCCAGCAGCAGCAAAAUGCUGCUGUCGGGUAAAUACAUGUAUCUACAAAAAAACAAGUUCCUCUGGAAUGACGAAUGGAGGGCUCAUUUUCUCAUUGACAACCAUGUAUUUCUGAAAUCGCAUGUUGGCGGUUGACCAGGUUUCAAGGGCCUGAGGGUCAUGAAAUUCACUCAACUCAUAAAUGAUCAUGUCAGCAUUCAAACGGAGGAAGAAAAAGGAAGACAAGGAAAAUUGCAGUUACACGUUUCCAUCUGACUGCAGCUGCUAAAUCCACGGCAGCAUAGUGGCCCAUCUCAAGGGCCCGCAGAGGCAGAAAGACAGUUCCUAUUACUGUCAGUCCAAUUACCGCCACCGCUGUCAACACCAGACGGGUCAUGGUAUGUAUCGGCAUCUUUUCUCUCAUGUGUAGCCAUAUUUCCUAGGCAGGGGAACUUGUAUAUUAAGCAGCACAGUUUUAAACUAUAAGCAACUGGUUGUCAACAUUUAAUAUAAUCGACUCUUAUAAACUGGCCAUUAUGUGGGGUCAAGAGUUGAGCAGAGUAGGAAGUGAUCAAAGAGCUCGCUCAUUAUGAGACGUGAAGGACACCUACAUCCCAGUGUAUAUGGAAAAUAGCCUGCUUUAAGGAUAUACACUGGAAACAAGUAAACAUGUGUGAAAACAAUGCCAACACAAUACAGAAAUGGUUGCAAUAUUUCCCCCUGUGGUUUUACGUGUCCUUGUGGCAAUCUACCACACAUAUACACAUAUGUACCCAGAAGUGGGGAAUGUGAUGAGAAGUGGUCUAAACAUUGAAACACUCUCCAUUACAGAGGACAGUGCUCAGCGUUGAGUGUGUCUGCUGAGCUGCCUGUAGUGUUGCACCACACGGAGACAGAAAAGGCCCAGCCCCAUCUGGUCUUGGUUCAGUCUGGUUUACUGCAAAGUGGUGCCAAUACAAAUAGCUGUGCUUGAUGUUUGUUUGCAUAAAUUGUUUUGAAAGGCUUCACCAAGAGUUUUUUGGGUGGAUUACGGUGGGGAAGUUUGGGAGCCAACCGUGGUGGAAUAAUCCUCACUGAGCUGACAGUUAGAUUUGCUCUUCUUUAAAAAUAAGAAAAAAGAUUGUUUUGGAUUUUUCUUCUCGGUUCCUGGCAGUGAGCUCGGACUGUGAACUUUUCAGUGAGCCGCGCGUGUGCAAGUGUGCGAGUGAAUAUAAUGUGGGUGUAUGAUGAGAAUGCUGAGCUGCUCUCUCUUCUCUCGUAGCAUAGCAGUGUCAAUUUCAAUAACAUCACUGUAGCGUUUAACACAUGCUGAAAGUUCGGUUGAAAGUUCAGAGGCCCAGUGCAAUGUAGGGAAAAUGUCCUUCUUCUUCGCACAUACACUUUGAUUUUUCUCUCAUAGGUCAAGGCAAAGGAAGGAAAAAAGCAAAGUUAUGUAGUGAGGUAAAUUAGGCUUGUAUUACACCGAUGCAAACCAGUAAGUGAAAAUGUAUCUUCAAUUACAGUGGGCACAAUUUUUUGUUUUGAUUGCACAUCCUGGUAAAAAAAAAAAUUUAAAAAAGACAGAGCGACCAAUUGGUAGCCAUCAUCACUUAGCUCUGGUUUUGUUGCAGGUACAAGAAAAUUAACCUGAUUGAUUUCAUGUCCAGGUAAGUGUGCCAGCUCAGCGCUAACUGGUACCAGGCAGAUUUUUGUGCGAGCUGUAUAGAUACCCAGGCCCCCGAGUCUCAGCCAGAGCCCCCGAGAGGAUGGAAAUCGCAAUUCUACCAAUGACAGUUCAAUCGUUCAAGCCCUCUGUUCCUCAUUUGCUGCUUAGCCAGUGGAGGUCCCGCCAUGGUCGACUCCCAACUAGAUCCAGAUGCGGCUAAAAAAAAAUUUGCUGCAACAUUUAUCUUUGUCUUCAGCUCCUCUGCAGCCACAUCGUGUCCGACUGCAGGGCUAAUGAUGGUAUAUUUUCUUGUCCGUGGACAAAAACUUGACAUUUCUGCUCUGUCCUUAACCAUUGAUGGGUUUGGUCUCAACACACACAGAGGUUUGACAAGCUCAGCGACCAGAGUGAUACAAUAUUACAAGACCUACUUCCCUUAUCUCAAGACUGUUAUCUAAACAAUGACUACAAACACAGUAACUAAAUUCUCUUUUUCCGCUUAUAUUCUGCAGUCAUAUGACUUUUAUUGCAUCUGAAAGUCACGAAAAAAUAUUCCUUGCGUGAUUCAAUCUUAAGGUUAUGUGAAGAAAAAACAAGACUCACUCACUAAUAAAAUACAGUGUCAACCGGCAUGAUGUUUUGCUUUUUGUUUCCUAACAUUUCUGCCUCAUCAGUUGGAUUUCCACUCAGACAUAGUUAUUUCAUUUCCCUUUCAUUCUCCUUUUUCCGAAUUUAAGCUCUAUCAGCAGGCCUCAGCAAAGUUUUUCAGUUUUUUUCCGUCACCCAAUGAAUCUACCUUAAGACAAAAAAAAAAAAAUAGGGCUCCCUCAAUCCAUCCAACUUAAAAACAGAUGUUACAUGGUUGCCAACAUCAAAAGGUCCUGUUAGCUGUAGUGAAGGUGAAAUCAUAUACUUUUGAUUAGCCCUUUUUGCUGGUUAAUGUAAACUAGCUUAGUACAUGGUUGUUGAGUGAACCCUGACCUUGGUCUCAUGGCCAAUACAUCAUCAGAUUACAGAAAGAAACACAUACUUUUGUUUCAACUUUGCCUUGUUAAGGCUAAUUUCUGAUUUGCAGAUUGUCAAGCUUACUUUGGAGAAAGCAAGAGGACUGGAUCGGAUCUCCACAAGGCUGCUCUGGGGUAACACGGACGCCUCUAAAUAAGGGGCCUUCCUCUCCUCUCUCUCCGUAGCACCUCCUCAAGCUGUCGGCACGCUGGUUCAGAGGGUUUCCUUCAGGAAGGAGAGGUCCAUGUUCCGACCACAGGCUGAUAGAGAGAGCCUGAUAACCCCUAAGCCAAGUGCUACACUGCCAGCUGACAUGACGCAAAUGUCCUCCUGACCCCUUUCUCUUUGGGAACAGGACACCCAAACACAAAUACUGGGGGGAAUGUCAGCAGAGCCCCUCUGCUACUGAGAAGGUGUGGCCUGAUACUUCAGACUUUAUGAGCUGCAGAAGUUAUAAUAACAAUUGAACUUUCGAGUGGCACAGCACUCAGUUUAUAUAUAUUAUUUAAGCAUACUGUAGGUGUCACAUUUUGUGACAUAAGAACAAUUUAAGAAGUGAAUUUAAUGGAGAAGAAAGAAGUUAGCUACAGAACAAUGUGGAUUGAAGCAAACUACCAUGUGUUUACUGUGGUAUUAUUUAUGGUGAGUGUGUAUUCUACUGUCUUUGCAUGAACUCUGUUUCUUUGUAUAUAUUAACUUUAUAAGAAAUGUUAACGCAGCCAACAAGAUUAUACGGAACCCCAAAAGACAGUUGGUGGAGCUGUACACUACACAAACCAGGAGGAAAGCCACAUUAAUAGUUAAGGACCCUUCACAUCCUUUGUUUAAUUAAUUUCCAAAAACUCCCUUCAGGAAGAAGAUAUAGAGUACCCACAGCAACGAAAAACAUCUUUCAGAGAUCUUUUAUUCCAUCCUCUGUCAUCUUACUUAACAAAUGACUUUUUAUCAGAUAUUAGUGACUGCUGCUGUCAUAUUUAUUUAAGAUAUGCAUUUAUUGUUAUUAUCUUAGCACUUUCAUCCCAAACGUUUGUUAUUACAGGUACAUUUAUUUAUUGUUUUCAUCUCAUGUAUUCUAACCCAUGGCAGAGGAAGUUUUUCAGUGUAUGUAUGUCUGUGAAGUGUUCAAGUGUGAAGCCAAAGACAAAUUUCCACGUGAGUGCACAAUAAAGAUGUCUAUUCUA